rnacentral:rRNA from 1 species
GACGAACGCUGGCGGCGUGCUUAACACAUGCGAGUCGAACGGAAAGGCCCUGCUUUUGUGGGGUGCUCGAGUGGCGAACGGGUGAGUAACACGUGAGUAACCUGCCCUUGACUUUGGGAUAACUUCAGGAAACUGGGGCUAAUACCGGAUAGGAGCUCCUGCUGCAUGGUGGGGGUUGGAAAGUUUCGGCGGUUGGGGAUGGACUCGCGGCUUAUCAGCUUGUUGGUGAGGUAGUGGCUUACCAAGGCUUUGACGGGUAGCCGGCCUGAGAGGGUGACCGGCCACAUUGGGACUGAGAUACGGCCCAGACUCCUACGGGAGGCAGCAGUGGGGAAUAUUGCACAAUGGGCGGAAGCCUGAUGCAGCAACGCCGCGUGCGGGAUGACGGCCUUCGGGUUGUAAACCGCUUUCGCCUGUGACGAAGCGUGAGUGACGGUAAUGGGUAAAGAAGCACCGGCUAACUACGUG